GGCAGUAUAGCUCAGUAGUAGAUUGCGUGUCUAGCAUGCACGGGAUCCUAGGUUCAAUCCCCAGUACUGAUA
rnacentral:tRNA from 1 species